rnacentral:rRNA from 1 species
GUAUUACUUAGGUGGCAAGCGUUGUCCGGAAUUAUUGGGCGUAAAGGGCUCGCAGGCGGUUUCUUAAGUCUGAUGUGAAAGCCCCCGGCUCAACCGGGGAGGGUCAUUGGAAACUGGGAAACUUGAGUGCAGAAGAGGAGAGUGGAAUUCCACGUGUAGCGGUGAAAUGCGUAGAGAUGUGGAGGAACACCAGUGGCGAAGGCGACUCUCUGGUCUGUAACUGACGCUGAGGAGCGAAAGCGUGGGGAGCGAACAGGAUUAGAUACCCUGGUAGUCCACGCCGUAAACGAUGAGUGCUAAGUGUUAGGGGGUUUCCGCCCCUUAGUGCUGCAGCUAACGCAUUAAGCACUCCGCCUGGGGAGUACGGUCGCAAGACUGAAACUCAAAGGAAUUGACGGGGGCCCGCACAAGCGGUGGAGCAUGUGGUUUAAUUCGAAGCAACGCGAAGAACCUUACCAGGUCUUGACAUCCUCUGACAACCCUAGAGAUAGGGCUUUCCCUUCGGGGACAGAGUGACAGGUGGUGCAUGUGUAGUCAGUCCGUAGUGCCGCCCCCCCCAGAAAAUG